UUUUGAGAUAUGAAAUUAUGUUGAUGCUUAGUUUUCCUCUUAUAAUACAUCAUUCUCACCUCUCAAUCAAAAGAAUAAUAUCAUAUGAUAACAUUUUCUUUCGUUUUAUUUUUAUGUGAUUACUAUAACUCAAUUAUUUUCGUCAUAUAUUGUCAAUUUUUUCAUCAAAAUAAAAAUACAAAUACAACUACAUAAAUUAUUUUUUUUCCAUUUGGUUCAAAAUUGUAUUGAUCCAUACAGAAAACCAAACUGAUUCACUAAUUUCACCUGUAUAUAAGAUUGUGUAGGUGAAUAGAGAUACUAAUGAUUCACGUGAUUUUGAAUGAUAUACGAUCUAGGAAGGAUUCUCAAAUUAAUAAUAUAGUUAGAUGUGAAAAGAUUUUGAGAAUAAAAGUACGUGAAUGAACUCGCGCCUCUUUCUCGCUUCCUUUCUCCAAGAAGUAACGGCUGCCACCGCCUGUUCAAAUUCUCCUCCACCGUUCCCUUCAAAACACUGAAUAACAUUUUCACACUCUGGAAUCGGGAACAAAUUAUCAUUUUGUUGUACACUCAAGCAUUCUCUUCAUGUUUCUUUUCAUUGGAAUCCUCUGGUCUCGUUCUUCCUUAUCUUUCUCUGCAUUAUCCCCCUUCUUCAUUGUUCUUCUCUAAGAAUAAAAUUGGGUUUUAUGGUUUUAGGAUAUUUCAAGUGAUCGUGGUUUCAAUUUUUCCUUUGUUUACAUUUGGUAGAAGACUGUAGGUUUCCAAUGGAGCGUGUUUUGUUUAUGGUGAUUCUGUUAGUUGUAUUUCCCAUGUGCGAAUCCCGGGGGUGGUUUUCGUCUUCACCCUCCUCAGACUCUACCAUGAAUCCUUCUAAGCAUUACACUGUUGCUGAAUAUUCCAUGGAGGGUUUCGAUGAUCGAAAGGGGGUGAGGGGAAUUCAGAACGCUAAGAACAAAUUGACUUUGCUCAAUUCUUGUUGGGAAAGUGCUUAUAGACAUCUAUUUUCGGGUUGCUCUGAGAUUUUUGCUGCGGAUGAGAAACGGUCGAGACUCGCUUUGGCAUCUUAGUGAUUGCUUUCAGAAGGAUUCUGGCAGGCCUCCUUUUCCUUCUUGUCACCCAAAAUCCCUCAUGGUCGAAUGCCUCAAGUACUUGCAUGAACAUGAGCAUAGGAUCUAUCUUGAGUUCUAUCUUGAAACUAACUCCAUUUUCCAUCAGCUAUAGGCUCAUGCUUUCAAGCAUGAAACGGAGAGACUGGUGAAUGAGUUAAAGAGAUCUUCCGAAUCUGCUGAAGCCAAGUUAGAAAUCAUUGAGGAAAGAUCGGAAUCUUUGUUGCAAAAUUCAUACCACAUUUCUGAUUCCUUGGAAACUACUGGUAUUCAAAUACAACAAGUGGCUCAAACAUCAAGGAAACUAGAAGAUCACAUGGGCGCUGUGCUACACCACUCAGAAAAAGUUUAUGAACAAUCCAGGAGGAUGGAGACUUCCCAAUUGGAACUUCAAGAAGGCCAGUUAAAGCUGAGAAGAAGUUUGGAGGAAGGAAUGGAGAUGCUUCACAAUUCCUACAAAAAUCUUGGCCAAGAGAUGGAUGGUUUAAGAGACGAAGCCAUUGACAUUGAGAAGGAGAUAUCUAAAGUAGGAGAUGCCAUGUCUUUGAAGAUGACAUACUUGCAGACCACGGCUGAGGACAUUGGGAAUAUGGCGGGGGUUUCAUUGAACAAACAAUAAGAACUUCUCGACGCUCAAUCCAUAGCACUCAAUGGUCUUCAUUCUUUAAGCAAAGUUCAAUCUGAAGUGCUAGAAGAGAGCAGAGUAAGCUGCAACAAUUGGCUGAAUAUGGCCAUAGACAGCAGGAGGAGCUUCUUCAGCGACAGAAACACCUUCAACGAUUUCAUGAUCGUUUAAUGGAAAAUUCUCAGUCCAUCUUGGCAGCACAGAUCAACAGAUUACUGAACGAUUCAAUUUAUAAUUAUUAGAGUUGUGUGUCACAUUCAUAAUUGAAGUAGCAAUACUUCGGCUGGAGGUGCUUGAUACAAAACAGCAAACAUGGAUUGUAAACUUGGUUCGGACAGUCUUCCUGCUUCUUGCUUUUCUUCAGCCUCUUCAUGCUAUUUGCACAUACAGGGAUUAUGGUGUUUUGAACUAUCACAUGCUACUAAUGUUAGUGGAAAAGAUCAAUGGGAUGCAGACAUCAACUAAGUUAACUUGGGACAGUGAGAGUGAUAUGAACUGGGCUUCAUGGAUUGACAUCGAGUUAUGA